AACGUAGGAGGCAAGCGUUAUCCGGAUUUACUGGGCGUAAAGCGCGUGCAGGCGGUUCCCUAAGUGGGAUGUGAAAGCUCCUGGCUCAACUGGGAGAGGUCGUUCCAGACUGUGGGACUGGAGGAUGGUAGAGGGAGGUGGAAUUCCGGGUGUAGUGGUGAAAUGCGUAGAUAUCCGGAGGAACACCAGUGGCGAAAGCGGCCUCCUGGACCAUUUCUGACGCUCAGACGCGAAAGCGUGGGGAGCAAACAGG
rnacentral:rRNA from 1 species